rnacentral:rRNA from 1 species
ACGUCAAAUCAUCAUGCCCCUUAUGUUCUGGGCUACACACGUGCUACAAUGGCCGGUACAACGGGAGGCGAAGGAGUAAUCCGGAGCGAAUCCUAAAAGCCGGUCUCAGUUCGGAUUGUGGGCUGCAACUCGCCCACAUGAAGCCGGAGUUGCUAGUAAUCGUGGAUCAGAAUGCCGCGGUGAAUGCGUUCCCGGGUCUU